rnacentral:rRNA from 1 species
UGGGGAAUAUUGCACAAUGGAGGGAACUCUGAUGCAGCGACGCCGCGUGAACGAAGAAGGCUUUCGAGUCGUCAAGCUCUUUUAUAUGGGAAGAUAAUGACGGUCCCCUAAGAAAAAGCCCCGGCUAACUCCGUGCCAGCAGCCGCGGUAAUACGUAGGGGGCUAGCGUUGUCCGGAAUCACUGGGCGUAAAGGUUUCGCAGUCGGAAAUGCAAGUCAGGUUUAAAAGGCAGUAGCUUAACUACUGUAAGCAUUUGAAACUGCAUAUCUUGAGAAGAGUAGAGGUAAGUGGAAUUUUUAGUGUAGCGGUGAAAUGCGUAGAUAUUAAAAAGAAUACCGGUGGCGGAGGCGACUUACUGGGCUCAUUCUGACGCUGAGGAACGAAAGCGUGGGUAGCAAACAGG